AACUGUGGUCUUACUGAAUCCACAGUAAGUCAUUAUGUCUGUGAUCUAUCUAUGACAGGAAAAGUUGUAAAUCGCAGUGCAGCUUAGUUGACCACCAUUUGCUGCUCUGUAAUGAUUUUGAAGCAUGCUUGUCAGACGUUGGGAUCCUAGGUAGCGGUGCUACCUGCAAGUACCUGAAGCUAACUGCAAUCCUUGAUCAAAAGGUCUUAUGCAUGCUUAAGUAAGGUAGAAAAUUUCAAGAACUCCCUUUUCAAAUGCCGAAACUCCGUUUUCAAAUGCCAGAACUCCAUUUUCAAAUGCAAAAACUCCGUUUUCAAAUGCAAAAACUCCAUUUUCAAUUGCCAAAACUCCAUUUUCAAUUGCCAAAACUCCAUUUUCAGAUGCCAAAACUCCAUUUUCAAAAGCCAAAACUCCAUUUUCAA